rnacentral:rRNA from 1 species
CCUACGGGUGGCAGCAGUGAGGAAUAUUGGUCAAUGGUCGGGAGACUGAACCAGCCAAGCCGCGUGCGGGAUGAAGGUACAGAGUAUCGUAAACCUCUUUUGUCAGGGAACAAAGGCGGGGACGUGUCCCCGGAUUAGUGUACCUGAAGAAAAAGCAUACGCUAACUCCGUGCCAGCAUCCGCGGUAAUACGGAGGAUGCGAGCGUUAUCCGGAUUUAUUGGGUUUAAAGGGUGCGCAGGCGGUCUGUUAUGUUAGCGGUCAAAGCCCGGGGCUCAACCCCGUCCCGCCGUUGAGACUGGCAGUCUCGAGUUGGAGAGAAGUAUGCGGAAUGCGCGGUGUAGCGGUGAAAUGCAUAGAUAGCGCGCAGAACUCCGAUUGCGAAGGCAGCAUGCCGGCUCCACACUGACGCGGAGGCACGAAAGCGUGGGUAUCGAACAGGAUUAGAUACCCGAGUAGUC